UGUAGUGUGACUGACUGAGUUAGCUGUUACUUUUGUAUAUUUCAGAUCUUGUGCGGGCAUUUUCUAGAAAGGUGCUUGUUAUUGGUGCCUUUUGAAGAGUACUUGGAGCUUGAGUGGUGAAAUUGAACAAGGGGAUGAAAGAAGUGAAGAUACAUGAUCCACUAAGGAGGAUUGGGUUAAUUUCUUGGAAAAUUGAAAACUUGUGUGUUCCACCUCUUGAAUGGUCAAACAUUAUCUUGAUAUUUUGCUUUUAUGUAUAUUUCUUGACCUCUUGGAUUAUUAUUUUGGUAUGAUGUUGGAUCUUGUAUUAUUAUUUUGGUAUGAUGUCGGAUCUUGAAUUAUUAUUUUGGUAUAUAUGAUGUGGGAUCUUGGAUUA